GAUGAACGCUAGCGAUAGGCUUAACACAUGCAAGUCGAGGGGCAGCACUGGCGAUCGGCGACGAUUUCCUGGUGGCGACCGGCGCACGGGUGAGUAACACGUAUGCAACCUACCCCUUACCGGGGGAUAACCCGGGGAAAUCCGGGCUAAUACCCCAUGACACGUCUUGAUCGCAUGAUCUGGUCGUUAAAGGUUCACCGGUUCGGGAUGGGCAUGCGUUCCAUUAGCUCGUUGGUGGGGUAACGGCCCACCAAGGCCACGAUGGAUAGGGGAACUGAGAGGUUCAUCCCCCACACUGGAACUGAGACACGGUCCAGACUCCUACGGGAGGCAGCAGUGAGGAAUCUUGGUCAAUGGAGGGAACUCUGAACCAGCCACGUCGCGUGAAGGAGGAAGGCCUUACGGGUCGUAAACUUCUUUUUCGGGGGAAUAAACGGGGUCACGCGUGGCCCCCUGCAUGUACCCCGCGAACAAGGAUCGGCUAACUCCGUGCCAGCAGCCGCGGUAAUACGGAGGAUCCGAGCGUUAUCCGGAUUUAUUGGGUUUAAAGGGUGCGCAGGCGGGUUGCUAAGUCGGUGGUGAAAUCCCGGGGCUCAACCCCUGGCUUGCCAUCGAAACUGGUUACCUUGAGUAUGGGUGAGGCAGGCGGAAUUCGUGGUGUAGCGGUGAAAUGCAUAGAUAUCACGAGGAACCCCGAUCGCGUAGGCAGCUUGCCAUUCCAUCACUGACGCUCAUGCACGAAGGCGUGGGGAUCAAACAGGAUUAGAUACCCUGGUAGUCCACGCGGUAAACGAUGAUUACUGGCUGUUCGCGAUACACUGUGAGCGGCCCAGCGAAAGCGUUAAGUAAUCCACCUGGGGAGUACGUUCGCAAGAAUGAAACUCAAAGGAAUUGACGGGGCCCGCACAAGCGGAGGAACAUGUGGUUUAAUUCGAUGAUACGCGAGGAACCUUACCCGGGCUUGAAAUGCGGACGACCGGCGGUGAGACCCGCCUUCCUUUCGGGGCGUCCGCGUAGGUGCUGCAUGGUUGUCGUCAGCUCGUGCCGUGAGGUGUCGGCUUAAGUGCCAUAACGAGCGCAACCCUCAUCGUUAGUUGCCAUCAGGUUAUGCUGGGGACUCUAGCGAGACUGCCAUCGUAAGGUGCGAGGAAGGUGGGGAUGACGUCAAAUCAGCACGGCCCUUAUGUCCGGGGCGACACACGUGUUACAAUGGGCGGUACAAAGGGUCGCCACCCGGUGACGGGGCGCCAAUCCCGAAAACCGCUCUCAGUUCGGAUCGGAGUCUGCAACUCGACUUCGUGAAGCUGGAUUCGCUAGUAAUCGCGCAUCAGCCACGGCGCGGUGAAUACGUUCCCGGGCCUUGUACACACCGCCCGUCAAGCCAUGGAAGCCGGGGGUGCCUGAAGUCCGUGACCGUUCAAGGAGCGGCCUAGGGUAAGACCGGUGACUGGGGCU
rnacentral:rRNA from 1 species